rnacentral:snRNA from 1 species
GUGCUUGCUUCAGCAGCUUAUAUACUAAAAUUGGAACGAUACAGAGAAGAUUAGCAUAGCCUCUGCGUAAGGAUAACAUGCAAAUUCGUGAAGGUUUCCAUAUUUAA